rnacentral:rRNA from 1 species
CUAAACUGAGGAAAGUCGGCCGAAACUGAUCGACUCGAGGAACGUAGAGGGAAGCGGAACUCUCGGAGUAGCGGUGAAAUGCGUAGAGACCGAGAGGUACCCCGAUGGUGAAGACAGCUUCCUGGGCGUUUCCUGACGCUGAAGCGCUAAGGCCAGGGGAGCGAAGGGGAUUAGAUACCCCCGUAGUCCUGGCUUCAAACGAUGUGGGCUUGGUGUCGGCCCCCGACAGAGGGUCGUUGCCGGAGCUAACGUGUUAAGCCCACCGCCUGGGGAUUACGUCCGCAAGGAUGAAACUCAAGGGAAUUGACGGGGGCCCACACAACCGGUGGAGCACGUGGUUUAAUUCGAUGAUAAGCGAAGAACCUUACCAGGGCUUGACCUAGCGGCAGUAGGACCCCGAAAGGGGAACGACCUCAAGCUUUGCUUGAGGAGCC